AACGAACGCUGGCGGCAUGCCUAACACAUGCAAGUCGAACGAUAUCUUCGGGUCUAGUGGCGCACGGGUGCGUAACGCGUGGGAAUCUGCCCUUUGGUUCGGAAUAACAGUUGGAAACGACUGCUAAUACCGGAUGAUGACGAAAGUCCAAAAGUUUAUGGCAAGGGGAUGAGCCCGCGUAGGAUUAGCUAGUGGGUGUGGUAAAGGCGAACCAAGGCGACGAUCCUUAGCUGGUCUGAGAGGAUGAUCAGCCACACUGGGACUGAGACACGGCCCAGACUCCUACGGGCGGCAGCAGUGGGGAAUAUUGGACAAUGGGCGAAAGCCUGAUCCAGCAAUGCCGCGUGAGUGAUGAAGGCCUUAGGGUUGUGAAGCUCUUUUACCCGGGAUGAUAAUGACAGUACCGGGAGAAUAAGCUCCGGCUAACUCCGUGCCAGCAGCCGCAGUAA
rnacentral:rRNA from 1 species